rnacentral:Y_RNA from 1 species
GGCUGGUCCGAGUGCAGUGAUGUUUACAACUAAUUGGUCACAGUUACCUACAGAUGAAUUUGUUCCUUCUCCAUUCCCACUGCUUCAUUUGACUAGCCUUCA